rnacentral:rRNA from 1 species
GAUGAACGCUGGCGGCGUGCCUAAUACAUGCAAGUCGAGCGAAGCGGGGACGGGUGAGUAAAACGUGGAUAACCUCCUAUAAGACUGGGAUAACUUCGGGAAACCGGAGCUAAACCGGGUACUUAUAGAUGGAUCCGCGCUGCAUUAGCUAGUUGGUAAGGAAACGUCUUACCAAGGCAACGAUGCAUAGCCGACCUUAGCGGGUGAUCGGCCACACUGGAACUGAGACACGGGCCAGAAUCCUACGGGAGGCAGCAGUAGGGAAUCUUCCGCAAUGGGAGAAAGCCUGACGGAGCAACGCCGCGUGAGUGAGGAAGGUCUGCGGAUUGUAAAACUCUGUUAUUAUUGAAGCGGUACCUAAUCAGAAAGCCACGGCGAACUACGUGCCAGCAGCCGCGGGAAAC